rfam:Stegodyphus mimosarum contig50796, whole genome shotgun sequence.
GCCUUCGUGGUGCAGUGGUCAGCACGCUGGGCGCGUAUUCCAGAGGUCCGCGAUUCGAAUCCCGGUGAAGGCG